CGAAAUGUUUAAAAGAAAUAUUUACUUACAUCUCCGAGAUUGUAACAGCUGUUUCCAUGUUUCUUUAGUCUCUUCGAGGACGUGGCCAUGGCUUCUGUGACCUUUUACAUUCUGUCAGGAUCUUUCACUAUGUCCAAUUUUCUGAGGAACUGCCAGACUGAUUUCCAGAGUGGUUGUACCAACUUGCAAUCCCACCAGCAAUGAAGGAGUCUUCCUCUUUCUCCACAUCCUCGACAGCAUCUGCUGACACCUGAGUUUUUCUUAUCUUAGCCAUUCUCACUGAUUCAGUGGAUCUGGUUUUAUAUGGCGGUUCCUGAACCAUGCGGACAAACAGAAGUAUUGGUUACUUUCCUCCCUCCAGCAGAGCUUUCCACCCU
rnacentral:lncRNA from 1 species